rnacentral:rRNA from 1 species
AACUAUAACUCUCUUAAGGUAGCCAAAUGAUUCGUCAUCUAAUUAGUGGCAUGUAUGAAUGUAUUAACGAGAUUCCCACUGUCCUUGUCUACUAUCUAGCGAAACCACAGCCAAGGGAAUGGGCUUAGCAGAAUCAACGGGGAAAGAAGACCCUGCUGAGCUUCACUGUAGUCCGACUUUGUGAAAUGACUUGAGAGGUGUAGUAUAAGUGGGAGCCGGAAACAGCAAAAGUGAGAUACCACUACUUUUAGCGUUAUUUUACUUAUUUCGUGAAUCAGAGGCGGGGCACUACCCCUCUUUUUGGACCCAAGGUCCGCUUUUGCGAGCUGAUAUAUAUAUAUAUAUAUUUAUAUAUGCUAAAAGAAUAUUUAUUAGUUAUUGUAAUUUCACUCAAAUUAAUAUUGUAUUAUUUUUAAACUUUGAAAAUAGAGAUGAAAAACAUAUUCUCUUGUAGAAAUUAAUUCUCCAAAGAUUUUAGGAAACCUCUUGUUGACGGUGAAAUCUCGUCAACGAAAUUAUAUCAGAAAACUCAAAGAUAUGUAUGGAGAUAUUUAGAUAAGAAAUUAGAAUAAACUUAAGGAAAAGUAAACACAGAUCCACAAUGGAGUGAGCCUUUGUAUAUUGCUUAAUAGCCUGAGUGUACAAUGAGUUUUCCAACCCCUUUUCUGGAGGGGUGAUGAUCUAUUUAUAUUGGAGCUCUAAUGGCUCCUCAUACAUUGUGGUCCCAGGGGACAAGAUUGUACAUAGGUACAUUGUCAGGGUAGUGGCACAGGUCGUGGUGGAGCAGAAGGUCAUGGUGUCCGCCUGGUACAUAGUCAGAGGUAUGCUUGUAGUGCUCCCACUCUCUGUACAAAUCCGUACCUCCACUACUUGUGUGAUACAGCUGUCAGGGUCACGCUUCUGUCCUCCUCAUGGUCGUACGUCCUGCACCCGUACACAUACGGGUACUUUGUACCUGAUGGUUAUUCUUGCACCUCUCAGGCAUGCAUCUGCUCAAAGCUAUUCCACGUUCUACUAAGUGUAGGAAAGCUAGUGUGUUGACAUGAGCGAUAUACUCAGGCAU